AGAGCUCGCACUCCCACUCCCCCUCCCCCUCCCACUGCUCCCAAUCCUGUUGGCAAAGCGAAGAAAGGUCGUGCAUCCAGCAGAGCUCCGACUCCUAUUGGCAAAGCGAAGAAGAAAGGUCGUGCAUCAAGCAGAGGUUGCGGGGAUGACUGGCAUCAAGCUGGCUGGCAACCAAACAAUUUCCCCUUCACUGCAACCCCUGGACCCCGGAGGGCUGCUGCGGAGCUGGAUAGCGACCUGCCAGCUGAC